rnacentral:lncRNA from 1 species
GUUUCUACUGGGGCUGAGAUUCUAUUUGCUUGUGAAAGUUCCUGGAUCCUUUAGAAUUGGUUUUCCUUCCCUAGUAUUGUGAGGCCAUGAGGACCCCGUGUAAGAGCUCCAGGGGGGCCUCUCACACAGGUCAUUCUCUGGUUCAGCUCUCAGCUGCUGACUGCAGGACUGGCUCCAUGGCCUUCCCAUCUUCUGAGUUACAGGCAUUCAUGGUUGGUGGCUCCUGUGGUGACCAGAACAGAAACUGCCACUUGCUGAAAGAGGAAAGGACAGCAACAGCCUCGGGCCAGGGAGGUGACCACCAGGAAAUGAGCCUGGUUACCUGUGCUCAGACAGCUUGGACGUGGUACUCAGAGGGUGCCUUUGAAGCUGGAUGAAUGGACAAGUCACUACAUGGAAAUAGAAGCUCAGAGAGGGGCCGCUUCCCUGUCUAAGAAGCUCGCUGUGUGGCAAAGGCGCUCUGCAGGGGCUGUAGGUGAAACCUGGGAGGAAAGCGCUGAACUGGGGAGCAGGCAGCCCAGCCCCAACCUGCUGAGGCUGCAUUCUGAGGACCCACUGGCCCAGCCCUGUUCUGUGGGUUUGAUGUUUCCCGCAACUUGGGCCAAAUUCCCAGUGAAACUCACUGGGUAGGUCGUGAGUUCUCACUCAGAGGUGCAGGGUCUGACCCCUCUCUGGGCAGAGAGAAUGAGCUCCGUCACUCUCAGGGCCAAACACGGGACAUGACUGAACUUGAUGGAUGCCUUAUGUUCUUUGAAUUUUGCCUCUUUCUCCUUAG